rnacentral:pre_miRNA from 1 species
AUAGUACUCUCUCCGUCCAACAAAAGAUGUCUCAAGUUUGUCAAAAUUUAGAUGUAUUUACACAUGACUUAGUGUAUACUAGAUGCAUUCAAAUUUAGUAAAAGUUGAGACUUUUUUGUUGGACGGAAGAAUAUUUC